UAGGGAAUCUUCCACAAUGGGCGAAAGCCUGAUGGAGCAACGCCGCGUGUGUGAUGAAGGGUUUCGGCUCGUAAAACACUGUUGUAAGAGAAGAAUGACAUUGAGAGUAACUGUUCAAUGUGUGACGGUAUAUUACCAGAAAGGAACGGCUAAAUACGUGCCAG
rnacentral:rRNA from 1 species